rnacentral:rRNA from 1 species
GUGCCAGCAGCCGCGGUAAUACGAAGGUGGCAAGCGUUGUUCGGAUUUACUGGGCGUACAGGGUGCGUAGGCGGUUCGGUAAGCCCUUCGGGAAAACUCCAGGCUCAACCUGGAAAGUUCGGGGGGGACUGCCGUGCUAGAGGACGGGAGAGGAGCGCGGAAUUCCCGGUGUAGCGGUGAAAUGCGUAGAGAUCGGGAGGAAGGCCGGUGGCGAAGGCGGCGCUCUGGAACGUUCCUGACGCUGAGGCACGAAAGCGUGGGGAGCAAACAGGAUUAGAUACCCCAGUAGUCC